CUUGCCCUACGGGGGGCAGCAGUGGGGAAUAUUGCGCAAUGGGCGAAAGCCUGACGCAGCGACGCCGCGUGAGGGAUGAAGGUCUUCGGAUCGUAAACCUCUGUCAGCAGGGAAGAACGGUCACUGUGCUAAUCAGCAGUGAAUUGACGGUACCUGCAAAGGAAGCACCGGCUAACUCCGUGCCAGCAGCCGCGGUAAUACGGAGGGUGCGAGCGUUAAUCGGAAUUACUGGGCGUAAAGCGCUCGUAGGGGGAAUGUCAAGUCAAGGGUGAAAUCCCCGCGCCCAACGGGGGAACUGCCAUGGA
rnacentral:rRNA from 1 species